rnacentral:rRNA from 1 species
UACGUAGGUUGCAGGCGUUAAUCGGAAUUACUGGGCGUAAAGCGUGCGCAGGCGGUUUUCUAAGUCAGAUGUGAAAUCCCCGGGCUUAACCUGGGAACUGCGUUUGAAACUGGGAGGCUAGAGUGCGGCAGAGGGGGGUGGAAUUCCACGUGUAGCAGUGAAAUGCGUAGAUAUGUGGAGGAACACCGAUGGCGAAGGCAGCCCCCUGGGCCUGCACUGACGCUCAUGCACGAAAGCGUGGGGAGCAAACAGG